GUAAGCAACCAAAGGGAACGAUUCGAGAGACGAUCCAUGGGGUUCAAAUAUAGAGGGAAAGGGCCCAUGAACAAGAGUGCACCCCCUUUUCCAAUCGGUCAAGGGUCUUGGGAUAGUUGGAGUUAAUCGUCCUUGGGUUUGAAUAGUACUGGGCUGGGUGACCUCCCGGGAAGUCCAAAUUCAGGAGCUUACAUUUGGUAUCAGAGGGGUCUUGGGUCCGACUCUGUUGGUUGGCUAAGGGAAUCGCACCACAUAUUGAUUGACAUCUGGCUGGUCCAGUUUGCUCCCGCUGGGCUCGACCCGAGGGGUAGAGUGUCAAGAGAGCGAGGCUCUCGGGAGAGCUGCGGCUCUCAGCUUCCGUUCACGAGGGCGUGAACUUGCAGGGAAGCGUGGUGGAUUGUAAGCAACCAAAGGGAACGAUUCGAGAGACGAUCCAUGGGGUUCAAAUAUAGAGGGAAAGGGCCCAUGAACAAGAGUGCACCCCCUUUUCCAAUCGGUCAAGGGUCUUGGGAUAGUUGGAGUUAAUCGUCCUUGGGUUUGAAUAGUACUGGGCUGGGUGACCUCCUGGGAAGUCCAAAUUCAGGAGCUUACACUCUCUACAAGCACACCUUUGAAACCACAAUAAAGGUUUGAGCAUGUUUGGAUUUGUAAGUCUCCUUUGCUAUGUAUGGCGUACUAUUGGAUCAAUGCAUUCCAUGGCACUACAUCAUGGAAGGCUAUGCUGACAAGAUCAUCUAUACCUGGCCACAUGUCAUUUCCCACAAAUUAACAUAAAUAACAAAAUUAAGGAUUGCAUGGGGUUCAAAUAUAGAGGGAAAGGGCCCAUGAACAAGAGUGCACCCCCUUUUCCAAUCGGUCAAGGGUCUUGGGAUAGUUGAAGUUAAUCGUCCUUGGGUUUGAAUAGUACUGGGCUGGGUGACCUCCCGGGAAGUCCAAAUUCAGAAGCUUACACUCUCUACAAGCACACCUUUGAAACCACAAUAAAGGUUUGAGCAUGUUUGGAUUUGUAAGUCUCCUUUGCUAUGUAUGGCGUACUAUUGGAUCAAUGCAUUCCAUGGCACUACAUCAUGGAAGGCUAUGCUGACAAGAUCAUCUAUACCUGGCCACAUGUCAUUUCCC
rnacentral:lncRNA from 1 species